rnacentral:rRNA from 1 species
AACGAACGCUGGCGGCAGGCCUAACACAUGCAAGUCGAGCGAGGACUUCGGUCCUAGCGGCGGACGGGUGAGUAACGCGUGGGAACGUGCCCUUUGCUUCGGAAUAGCCCUGGGAAACUGGGAGUAAUACCGGAUGAGCCCUUCGGGGGAAAGAUUUAUCGGCGAAGGAUCGGCCCGCGUUGGAUUAGGUAGUUGGUGGGGUAAUGGCCUACCAAGCCGACGAUCCAUAGCUGGUUUGAGAGGAUGAUCAGCCACACUGGGACUGAGACACGGCCCAGACUCCUACGGGAGGCAGCAGUGGGGAAUCUUAGACAAUGGGGGAAACCCUGAUCUAGCCAUGCCGCGUGAGCGAUGAAGGCCUUAGGGUUGUAAAGCUCUUUCAGCUGGGAAGAUAAUGACGGUACCAGCAGAAGAAGCCCCGGCUAACUCCGUG